CACACUAUAACAUAGAUCAAUCAAAAUGCAGUGAUUCAUCAAAAAUAGAAUAGUACCAUCACUGUACACAGAAUGAGGAAAGGGAGAGGGCGAUUUUUAUUCACAGUUGUGCUCGGCACUGUGCGGGAGGAGUCUCGACACGACGUGUGAGGUAGGUCGCCGGCGGCUGUGAAGCACAAGGGGGAGGAGGAGGAGGCACCUCCGAGAUCCAACGAUGACGGUGGAUGGUGGUCGGAGUCCGGGACCGUGUAGAGCUCGGGACGAGGAGCCUCCGCAUGGCGCUGGAUGAGCGGCAGCGGAUGGAAUCCAGGGACCGGCGACGGCGCUCGGGAUCCAGGACGCUGCGGUGGCGCCUGGGGAUCCAUGGCCCAGCGACAACACACGGGGAUCCCGGGGCCCUGCGGCAGCUGGAUCAGUGGGUGGAGGAAGCUCGCUGGCCGUGGAGGAGGAGGGUCACGCGCCGGCCGUUGGGGAGGAGUGGGGGUGGCCGCGAGGGAGGUGAACGGCGGCGUGCGGGGGUGCUAGGUCUCGACGGCGCCGGUUGGGGCACUGCGGGGGCGACGGCGCAGGUUGGGGCGGAGUGCGAGCGGCACGGUGGCGGCGGCGUCAGUUGGGGCGGGGUGGGCAGCGAGUCGAUCUGGG
rnacentral:rRNA from 1 species